GGUCGAUUAGUGUAGCUGGUUAUCACAUCGGAUUCUGAGUAAUGCAUUCACUCGUGCAUUCCGGUAACCGGGGUUCGAAUCCCCGAUUGACCU
rnacentral:tRNA from 1 species